AUUGAACGCUGGUGGCAGGCCUAACACAUGCAAGUCGAACGGUAACAGGAAGAAGCUUGCUUCUUUGCUGACGAGUGGCGGACGGGUGAGUAAUGUCUGGGAAACUGCCUGAUGGAGGGGGAUAACUACUGGAAACGGUAGCUAAUACCGCAUAACGUCGCAAGACCAAAGAGGGGGACCUUCGGGCCUCUUGCCAUCGGAUGUGCCCAGAUGGGAUUAGCUAGUAGGUGGGGUAACGGCUCACCUAGGCGACGAUCCCUAGCUGGUCUGAGAGGAUGACCAGCCACACUGGAACUGAGACACGGUCCAGACUCCUACGGGAGGCAGCAGUGGGGAAUAUUGCACAAUGGGCGCAAGCCUGAUGCAGCCAUGCCGCGUGUAUGAAGAAGGCCUUCGGGUUGUAAAGUACUUUCAGCGGGGAGGAAGGGAGUAAAGUUAAUACCUUUACUCAUUGACGUUACCCGCAGAAGAAGCACCGGCUAACUCCGUG
rnacentral:rRNA from 1 species